rnacentral:tRNA from 1 species
UGCCGGAUGGCAGAGCGGUAAUGCAGCGCACUGUUAAUGCGCCGUCGCAAGACACACUGGUUCGAAUCCAGUUUCGGCAGCCA